AAGUUAUAUUUUGCAAGAAUUAGUACAAAAGUGGGAUUUUGUAGGAAGCCUGUCGAAGUAAAUGCUGAAACGAAACAGGAUUUGAGAAGUUUUAAGCUUAUAUUGGAAUAUAUAAAAGCCUUGCCUGUAAGUGUUGAACUACAGUUUACUCUUCAUUAUAUAGCAUGAACAAUAAUGCUAAUUUGUGUGCAUGUCUAAUGUUCAUUAUAUAGCAUGAACUUCUCUCUUACACACUCGCUCCCUCACUGACACGACUUCAUCAAUGCCAUUCAAGAAAACAUUACGGUAUUUUGUUUUAUGGUGCAAUUUGCAUAGAGGAGUAAUUGAAUCUAUUUUGUUUUC